AAGGAUAGCGCAACCUUCCCCAAAGCACCACGUCCUGGAACAUCCCUUUGUCAGACACGGGGUCUAUGGGAGGACAUCUUACAUUAAAGGCGGUCCUCUCCUUGCGGGGACUGGAGAAUGCCACCGAGAGGAAGAGAGCCAUGGAGGAUGUGGGGUAAGCCCUGGUCUGAGGUGACCAUGGAAGAACAGAGCCUGGAACUCCCGGGAGCUGACCUUUCCCACCGUGCUGCAGGCUCUGCUGGAGAACACCGUGGGAACAGGCUGCUGGCUGCGCUGCUGCAGUUUGGACCAGAAUUUCCCAGAUUCUCAGAAGAUGGCUACUGGAAUAUUGAAAAUGUUCUCUCACACACACACUCUCCACUGGCAGAGAUUUGUAGUGAACAGGCCUAUCCUGUUCAUGGAUCGGGUAAAACUAGGAACCUGCUUUCCAGGUCGGAUGUCCCUCACCAGACUGACAGACGUGGACUAGUGGCUUCUUUUUCACCUCUUUCUAAUUGGAUCACCCGGGGAACUGUGCACGCGCAGAUGUAGCAUACUGUCCAUGAAAACCUGGGUAGCUAGGAGAGGGUGUAUUAUCUAUGCAUCUUGUUUGCAAACACUGGGGCUCACUUCCUAGCAGGAGUUCUACAUAUACAAAUCCUCAGAAAUAAACAAGACUCAGGGUUGAACCCUGGGCCAAUGAUGGCCAAA
rnacentral:lncRNA from 1 species